GUCUAGGACCCCUGGGUGGUCGCGCAAAUCCCGGACGAGCCCCCAAAUGAAAGACCCCCGAAGGGAGACCC
rnacentral:pre_miRNA from 11 species